rnacentral:lncRNA from 1 species
GAAAGAAAGAAAGAAAACCCAUAAGAAAUGAAAAGGGCAUUGUUAUUUUUUACAGGUAAUAUAAUUCUGUACUUAGAAAACCCAAAAUAAUUUACAGGAUAAUAUUUAGAAUUAAUGACGAGUCAUCACAUUUGCCAGGUAGCAAAGUGCAUUUCCUUAGUCCAAGAGUAAGAAAUUAGAAGGUACAGGUAAAUAAAGUGUACUAUUUAUAAAAGCUACCAAAAUAGUGGAGCUGAAACCAUUGCUUAUCUGGAGAAAAAGUAUAAAUGAACCCUUCCUGUUAUACCCACAAAUCAAUUCUAGAUGAAUUAAAAGGUAAAACUCGAAAGGCUUAGAACAACAUGUAGAAUAAUAUACUCUUUAGGAUAUGCUCUGGUGAUAAGGGAAAAAAAAUCUUAAAACUCAAAAUACAAAUCAAAGAAAGCAAAAUUAAGUUCCCUUGAAACUUUGGUCAUCAAAACACAGGAAGAGCCUGACAUGAUAAUGCAAGCCUGAAAUCCCUGCAAUUUGGGAAGCUGAGGCAGGAGAAUUGCAAGUUCAAGGUCAGCCUCAGCAAUUUAACAAGGUCCUAAGCAACUUAGUGAGACCCUAUCUCAAAAUUAGAAAAUAAAAUAAAAGGAGCUGGGGAUGUAGCUUGGUGAUAAAGUGCCCUGGGUUCAAUUCCCAGUACCAAAAUAAGAAGCAGUCAAGCAUGGUGACACUUGCCUGUAAUCUGAGCAGCUUGGGAAGCUGAAGCAGGAGGAUCUCAAGUUCAAGGCCAACCUGGGCAACUUAGUGAGACCCUUCUCAAAAUAAAAUGAAAAUGACUGGGAUGUAACUCAGUAGCAAAGUGCCCCAGGUAUUCAACUCUCAGUACAAAGCACAUACAGAAAGUAAAAAGAAAUAUCAAACUAAAAUGAAAGCUCUGCAACACACAUAAUGAGUCUUUUUUUUUUUUUUUAAGUUUCUAGAACCAUACUAUACAGAGUCUAUUAACCACGUAUGACUGUUGAGUACUUUGAAAUGCAACUUGGCCAAAUGAAGAGUGUGGUAAGUAUAAAAUACCAGAUUUCAAAGAGUUAGUACAAAAAUAAAAUUUGGUGGCAGGGGGAGUACUGGAGUACAUACCCAAUCCUUUUUAUUUUUUAUUUUGAGACAGGGUCUUACUAAAUUGCUAAGAUUCUCAGUAAGUUACUGAGGCUGGCCUCAAACUUAGGAUUCUCCUGCCUUAGCCGCCCUACUUGCUGGAAUAGUUUUUCAGAAAUUUUUUUUCUCUUUUUUUUGAGAGAGAGAGAGAGAAUUUUAAUAUUUAUUUUUUAGUUUUCAGCGGACACAACAUCUUUGUUUGUAUGUGGUGCUGAGGAUCGAACCCCGGCCGCACUCAUGCCAGGCAGCGCGCUACCACUUGAGCCACAUCCCCAGCCCAAUUUUUUUUCUCUUACAGAGGAAAAGGAAACACCCAGAAGGCUUCAGAGACAGAUACUAAGUCCUAUUUCUUAAAUGAGGCGGUAAGUAGAUAGGUU